rnacentral:rRNA from 1 species
UAAAAAAAAAAAAAAUUCUGUCUGCUCAAAUGUUUUUUAAAUUGCUGUGGUACUUUGACUAUACAAAGGUAUUGAAAUAAGACUUUAAUUGAGUGCUAAGAGAAUGGAAUUACAGGAAAAAUCUUUUUUAAACUUAACAAUUAAAGUUAUUUUUACUUGUGAAGAAGCAGUAAUAAAAAUUAAGGACAAGAAGACCCUAAGAAUUUUUCGAUACAUAUUUCAAUAAAGAAAAUAUGUUUCUUUAAUUGGGGCGAUUAAUUAAUAUUAAAAACUUUUUUGAAAAAACAUGAACCGUUUAAUAGCGGUAAAUUGGUAAAAAUACUCUAGGGAUAACAGCGUAAUAAUUUUUGAUAGUUCAUAUUGACAAAAUAGUUUGCGACCUCGAUGUUGGAUUAGGAUAUUUUUUUAAUGAAGAAGUAAAAAAAAAAGUUGUCACCCAUCCCU